rnacentral:rRNA from 1 species
AACGAACGCUGGCGGCAUGCCUAACACAUGCAAGUCGAACGAAACCUUCGGGCUUAGUGGCGCACGGGGGGGUAACGCGGGGGGACCUGCCUUUGAGUUCGGAAUAACUCAGAGAAAUUUGAGCUAAUACCGGAGGAUGUCUUCCGACCAAAGAUUUAUCGCCUUUAGGUGGGCGCGGGUUGGAUUGGCUAGUUGGUGGGGUAAAGGCCUAUCAAGGGGAGGAUGCAUAGCUGGUCUGAGAGGAUGAUCCGCCACACUGGGCAUGCGACACGGCCCAGAAUCCUACGCGAGGGAGGAGAGGGGAAUACUGGACAAUGGGGGAUGGCAUGAUCCAGCAAUGCCGGGUGAGUGAUGAAGGCCUUAGGGUUGUAAAGUUCUUUUACACGAGACGAUAAUGACGGUAUCGGGAGAAUAAGCACCGGCUAACUCCGUG